rnacentral:rRNA from 1 species
UACGAAGGGUGCAAGCGUUACUCGGAAUUACUGGGCGUAAAGCGUGCGUAGGUGGUGAGUUAAGUCUGAUGUGAAAUCCCCGGGCUCAACCUGGGAAUGGCAUUGGAUACUGGCUCGCUCGAGUGCGGUAGAGGGUGGUGGAAUUCCCGGUGUAGUGGUGGAAUGCGUAGAGAUCGGGAGGAACACCCGUGGCGAAGGCGGUGGCCUGGACCUGUGCUGACGCUGAGGCGCGAAAGCGUGGGGAGCGAUCCGG